GACAUGCAAGUGGUAGGAAGCCGAAAGGUGACGACCCUUCGGGAGCUUGCACAGGUGCUGCAUGGCUGUCGUCAGCUCGUGUCGUGAGAUGUUCGGUUAAGUCCGCUAACGAGCGCAACCCUCGCUGUGUGUUAUAUGUGUCACACGGGACUGCCGGUCUUAAGCCGGAGGAAGGUGGGGAUGAUGUCAAGUCAGCAUGGCCUUUAUAUCCUGGGCUACACACACGCUACAAUGGCCAACACAAUAGGUUGCGAAGCCGCGAGGCGGAGCCAAUCCAGCAAAAACUUCCCUCAGUUCAGAUUGCAGGCUGCAACCCGCCUGCAUGAAGUUGGAGUUGCUAGUAAACGCAGGUCAGCCAUACUGCCGUUGAACUACGUUCCCGGGGCUU
rnacentral:rRNA from 1 species